rnacentral:rRNA from 1 species
UACGUAGGGCGCAAGCGUUAUCCGGAAUUAUUGGGCGUAAAGAGCUCGUAGGCGGUUUGUCGCGUCUGCCGUGAAAGUCCGGGGCUCAACUCCGGGAUCUGCGGUGGGUACGGGCAGACUAGAGUGAUGUAGGGGGAGACUGGAAUUCCUGGUGUAGCGGUGAAAUGCGCAGAUAUCAGGAGGAACACCGAUGCGAAGGCAGGUCUCUGGGCAUUAACUGACGCUGAGGAGCGAAAGCAUGGGGGAGCGAACAGG